GACGAACCGUGCGAACGUUGUUCGGAAUCACUGGGCUUAAAGGGCGCGUAGGCGGGUCAUCAAGUCAGGGGUGAAAUACUCCGGCCUAACCGGAGAACGGCUUCUGAUACUGGUGACCUCGAGGGGUGUAGGGGCAUGCGGAACUUCCGGUGGAGCGGUGAAAUGCGUAGAUAUCGGAAGGAACGCCGGUGGCGAAAGCGGCGUGCUGGACACCUUCUGACGCUGAGGCACGAAGGCUAGGGGAGCAAACGGG
rnacentral:rRNA from 1 species